GAUGAACGCUGGCGGCGUGCCUAAUACAUGCAAGUCGAGCGAACAGACGAGGAGCUUGCUCCUCUGACGUUAUCGGCGGACGGGUGAGUAACACGUGGAUAACCUAACUAUAAGACUGGGAUAACUUCGGGAAAUCGGAGCUACUACCGGAUAAUAUAUUGAACCGCAUGGUUCAAUAGUGAAAGACGGUUUUGCUGUCACUUAUAGCUGGAUCCGCGCUGCAUUAGCUAGUUGGGAAGGUAACGGCUUACCAAGGCGACGAUGCAUAGCCGACCUGAGGGGGUGAUCCGCCGCAGGUGAAAUGGGACACGGGCCAAACUCCGACGGGAGGCAGCAGUAGGACAUCUUCCGGAAGGGGCGAUAGGCAGAAGGAGCAACGCCGCGAGAGUGAGAAAGGGCUACGGAGCGUAAAAGACUGAGAUUAGGGGAGAGCAAAGGUGUAAGUAACGAUGCGCGUCUGGACGGUACCGAAGCAGAAAGCCAGGGCUAACUACGU
rnacentral:rRNA from 1 species